rnacentral:lncRNA from 1 species
GCUAGCAGAAGGCAAGAAAUAACUAAGAUCAGAGCAGAACUGAAGGAAAUAGAGACACAAAAAACCCUUCAAAAAAUCAAUGAAUCCAGGAGCUGGUUUUUUUGAAAAGAUCAACAAAAUUGAUAGACUGCUAGCAAGACUAAUAAAGAAGAAAAGAGAGAAGAAUCAAAUAGACGCAAUAAAAAAUGGUAAAGGGGAUAUCACCA